rnacentral:rRNA from 1 species
AUUGAACGCUGGCGGAAUGCUUUACACAUGCAAGUCGAGCGGCAGCGCGGGGCAACCUGGCGGCGAGCGGCGAACGGGUGAGUAAUACAUCGGAACGUGCCCAGACGUGGGGGAUAACUACUCGAAAGAGUGGCUAAUACCGCAUACGAUCUAAGGAUGAAAGCGGGGGAUCGCAAGACCUCGCGCGUUUGGAGCGGCCGAUGGCAGAUUAGGUAGUUGGUGGGGUAAAGGCUUACCAAGCCCGCGAUCUGUAGCUGGUCUGAGAGGAUGAUCAGCCACACUGGGACUGAGACACGGCCCAGACUCCUACGGGAGGCAGCAGUGGGGAAUUUUGGACAAUGGGCGAAAGCCUGAUCCAGCCAUUCCGCGUGCAGGAUGAAGGCCCUCGGGUUGUAAACUGCUUUUGUACAGAACGAAAAAGACUCUUUCUAAUACAGAGAGUCCAUGACGGUACUGUAAGAAUAAGCACCGGCUAACUACGUGCCAGCAGCCGCGU